GUGAAGAGUAGAUAUCCUGAUAAGAUUAAUUUUUUUCAGGAUAUAACCUGAUUAGAAGUCUGUAUGAGAAGUAGAGGGACUCACAUGCCUUCACUUUGGGAAGAUAAACUGUCUUGCACAGGGUAGUCAGCAUCCUAGGUUCCAGUUAAAAAGGAGUUGAAUUAGAUGAAACUCUUAAACCAAAUCAAUGGAUGCUGAAGAGAGACAGCAGCAUUUGAAGAGGCCGGAGGCCAUAAAAUUUCCAGCUAUAUUACAACUGCGCAACACAGACAAGUUCCAAUUUUCUGCAUGCUUUUGGAGUAGAAAAGGCCUGUAAUGAAUCCUUCAUAAAAAAAAACAUGAUAGAAAGGAAAGAAGCAGCUUCUGAUGGUAAGCAGCCUACACGAAG
rnacentral:lncRNA from 1 species